rnacentral:sRNA from 1 species
AUCAUCGUCGGCGCAUUCAUCGGCGAAUGCAGCCCCCAGAGUCGCGACGAGGGAAACG